CGCGUAGGCGGACUUGUAAGUCGGGAGUGAAAACUCGGGGCUCAACCCCGAGCCUGCUUCUGAAACUGCGAGUCUUGAGGACCGGAGAGGAAAGUGGAAUUCCUAGUGUAGCGGUGGAAUGCGUAGAUAUUAGGAAGAACACCAGUGGCGAAGGCGACUUUCUGGACGGUUCCUGACGCUGAGGCGCGAAAGCUAGGGGAGCAAACAGGAUUAGAUACCCUGGUAGUCCUAGCCGUAAACGAUGAGUGCUAGGUGGUGGUAGUUUCAACACUUUCACCGCCGCAGCCAACGCAUUAAGCACUCCGCCUGGGGAGUACGGCCGCAAGGUUGAA
rnacentral:rRNA from 1 species